rnacentral:rRNA from 1 species
UAGGGANUCUUCGGCAAUGGGGGCAACCCUGACCGAGCAACGCCGCGUGAGUGAAGAAGGUUUUCGGAUCGUAAAGCUCUGUUGUAAGAGAAGAACGAGUGUGAGAGUGGAAAGUUCACACUGUGACGGUAACUUACCAGAAAGGGACGGCUAACUACGUGCCAGCAGCCGCGGUAAUACGUAGGUCCCGAGCGUUAUCCGGAUUUAUUGGGCGUAAAGCGAGCGCAGGCGGUUAGAUAAGUCUGAAGUUAAAGGCUGUGGCUUAACCAUAGUACGCUUUGGAAACUGUUUAACUUGAGUGCAGAAGGGGAGAGUGGAAUUCCAUGUGUAGCGGUGAAAUGCGUAGAUAUAUGGAGGAACACCGGUGGCGAAAGCGGCUCUCUGGUCUGUAACUGACGCUGAGGCUCGAAAGCGUGGGGAGCAAACAGGAUUAGAUACCCUGGUAGUCCACGCCGUAAACGAUGAGUGCUAGGUGUUGGGUCCUUUCCGGGACUCAGUGCCGCAGCUAACGCAUUAAGCACUCCGCCUGGGGAGUACGACCGCAAGGUUG